rnacentral:rRNA from 1 species
UUUAUGGAGAGUUUGAUCCUGGCUCAGGAUGAACGCUGGCGGCGUGCCUAAUACAUGCAAGUCGAGCGAACGGACGAGAAGCUUGCUUCUCUGAUGUUAGCGGCGGACGGGUGAGUAACACGUGGAUAACCUACCUAUAAGACUGGGAUAACUUCGGGAAACCGUAGCUAAUACCGGAUAAUAUUUUGAACCGCAUGGUUCAAAAGUGAAAGACGGUCUUGCUGUCACUUAUAGAUGGAUCCGCGCUGCAUUAGCUAGUUGGUAAGGUAACGGCUUACCAAGGCAACGAUGCAUAGCCGACCUGAGAGGGUGAUCGGCCACACUGGAACUGAGACACGGUCCAGACUCCUACGGGAGGCAGCAGUAGGGAAUCUUCCGCAAUGGGCGAAAGCCUGACGGAGCAACGCCGCGUGAGUGAUGAAGGUCUUCGGAUCGUAAAACUCUGUUAUUAGGGAAGAACAUAUGUGUAAGUAACUGUGCACAUCUUGACGGUACCUAAUCAGAAAGCCACGGCUAACUACGUGCCAGCAGCCGCGGUAAUACGUAGGUGGCAAGCGUUAUCCGGAAUUAUUGGGCGUAAAGCGCGCGUAGGCGGUUUUUUAAGUCUGAUGUGAAAG